rnacentral:rRNA from 1 species
UACGUAGGGGGCAAGCGUUAAUCGGAAUUACUGGGCGUAAAGCGUGCGCAGGCGGUGAUGCAAGACAGAUGUGAAAUCCCCGGGCUCAACCUGGGAACUGCAUUUGUGACUGCAUCGCUGGAGUGCGGCAGAGGGGGAUGGAAUUCCGCGUGUAGCAGUGAAAUGCGUAGAUAUGCGGAGGAACACCGAUGGUGAAGGCAAUCCCCUGGGCCUGCACUGACGCUCAUGCACGAAAGCGUGGGGAGCAAACAGG